CUCAUCUGGAAAUUUUGGUUUUUUCUUCCCUCAGGUUGAAGGCGCGUUUAUUCAAGGCAUGGGACUCUAUACAAUAGAGGAACUGAAGUAUUCUCCUCAGGGUGUCCUGUACACCCGUGGUCCAAACCAAUAUAAAAUCCCGGCCAUCUGUGACGUCCCCACAGAGCUGCACAUUUCUUUUUUGCCUCCUUCUGAAAACGCAAAUACUCUGUAUUCGUCUAAGGGUCUGGGAGAGCCUGGGCUGUUCCUGGGGUGUUCGGUGUUUUUUGCCAUCCAUGACGCGGUGAACGCAGCGCGACAGGAGAGAGGCCUGCGUGGACCCUUGAAGCUCAAUAGUCCACUGACCCCAGAGAAGAUUAGAAUGGCCUGUGAAGAUAAGUUCACGGAAAUGAUUCCAAGAGAUGAACCUGGAUCCUAUGUUCCUUGGAAUAUACUCAUAUGAGUCAAAUAUAAACUUCUGAGCAAAAAGGGGUGACUUUUCCAACAAAGCAAUCUGUCCAGUCUCUGCGCUCUAAGAUGCUAGAUCUAAAAGACGAACUUCACAGUUAAAAAUCAUUUCACAGAAUAUUGUUUUUAUAUGAUGCUGAUUUUAAAUGUUUCAUUUAGAUUUUGAUAUAUAUGCUUAAGCAAUUUAUAAAUCAUAUUUUAAAUGGCAUAAAUACUAACUAGUUUCCUCUGGAGUGAUAUUCUCCAUUACUCUGUGCCUUAAAUCCAUCCAGCUGAAUGGAAUAGAAGAGGAUGGCUUGUGUGAUGUAUACUUGGCUUGUAUCCACCAACAGAAAUUAUACCGUCUGCUGAAAGGCAAUUUUUUUUUCUCAAUACUUGUAUUAGUAGUAUGAACUGUAAACUUGUCAUUUUCUCAUUUGUCCCCAUCUGCCAUCACCCUCCUUUUCUUGUCAGAAUGGAUCCUGGCACUGGAUCUAAAGAGUCCGUGAGACCAAAAA